rnacentral:lncRNA from 1 species
CACACAAUUGAUAGGCUUGGAAACAGCAUAAAAUGGUUUGAGAAAUUUAUUUAAGUCAUUAUCUAUAGAGCUAAAGCAUUUCUAACUUAUCAUAGAAUGCUUUCAUCAGAAGAGAAAAGCACUAAGCUAACGAUUUCAACCAUUCAUUUCCUGGAAGGUUUUAGGAUUUAUUAAAUGACAUUGGUUUAUAAUAUCAUACAGAAAUGGUGUGUUUACCUAUUAUUAACACGAAUGUAUCUGCACUACUAGUCAAAAAUAUUAAUCACAUUGAUUAUCCUUAAGCCAUUUCUAGUUCAUUAUAAUUAAGGCAUAGGUAUUAAUUUUCCAAGUAUUCAAUAAGACUGCUUGUCAAAUUAAAAAACAAUCAAUAAAUUCUACAAAGUGAUGAAACAAAAUCAUUUAACAUAAUUGGAUGUUCUCAUGGACCACAUUAACAUUAAUCUCAAGGAUAGAUUAAGAAUCAAUGUGACUUACUGUGUCAUCAGAAAUCCUGGUUCUGCCAGUAAACACUCCUUAAAUCCACCAAAGUGAUCUAAUUGUGCCCUGUGGAACACUGUUUAUGUCACUAUGUAGGAAAAAAUUCAGUUUUUCCUCAACUCUCACACUCUUCCCACCCUCACAACACCUCAAACAUCAAAUGUGCAUUGGUUUUCCCUACACCAAGCAAUACUGUGACACCAGCUGGGUGUGCUGCCAUUUAACUCAAUUCUGACACUAUCUCCCUGAAGAUAGCACCAGAUCCAAUAGAUGAAGGGCUCAGGCCUACAAGACUGUCCUCCACUCAGAGGCCACUGACAAGUCUUAAGUUACCCAUAACUUUGACUUGGCCACUAACUGAAGUUCCCAUGAUCUCCCCACCCGCUUGGAUUUGAUUAUUUGCUAGAGAAGCUCACAGAACUCAGGGAAACACUUGUUUAUGAGUUUAUUAAAGGAUAUGAAAAAAGAGCCAGAUGAAGAAAUACAUAGGACAAGGUCUAGGAGGGUCCUGAGCACUGAAGCUUCUGUCUCUGUGGAGCUGGGGUGUGACACUCUCCUGGUACUUGGAAAUGUUCAUCUAUCUACCUGGAAGCUCUCCAAAUCCCAUACUUUUGGGAUUCUUAUGCAGGCUUCCUCAUGUAAGCAUAAUCAAUGAUUAACCCCAUUUGUAGACCCUCUCCCUUCUCUGAAGAAUGAGGGGUGGGCAGAUAAUUCAGACCAUUAGUCAAAUUCUAAAUAUGCUUUUGCCUUUAUGGAGACCAGCCCUCACCCAGGAGCCAACCAGAGUCACCUCAUUCCAGCAAAAGACAUUCCUGUCACCCAGCAAGUUCCAAGCGAUUCAGGAGCUCUGUGUUAGGCACAGGGUCAAAGACCAAAGAGGACAACAAAAGAUGCUCCUGGUGCUCUUACUAGUUAGGAGAUUUACAAGGGUUUCAGGAGCCCUGUGUCAGAAACCAGCCUAUAUAUAUAUUACAUAUAUUCCUUAUUAUUUCAGUCAUUCAUAACAGGACUCUCCAAGUCAUUUGAUUUUUCACACUCUAUUGUCCCAGAGAACAGUAUGCAUACAUAAUUUUAUCCCUUUUAUCACUCAUCCCUCCACUCCUGAAAACAUUGUGUCCCGAGUCCAUUUUCGGCAAAAUCCUUCUGUCCUAAAAUUAGCUUCUGAAUGUCCCUUUCCCUUUCUUACUCUAACACAACAUUAUUCUCCUUUGUUUUUCUGUGAUGGCAGAUUCACCUCCCACAGGCUUUUAAAUAAUAAAUUAGCUAUAUACAAAGAAGGAAAAAUUUUCACAAAUGAAGCAACUGAUAAGGGAUUAACCUCCAAGAUAUGUAAAUGUCUCAUGCAGAUUUAUAUUUUAAGAAACCCCAAUCAAAAAAUGGGCAGUAGACCUAAAGAGACAUUUCUCCAAAGAAAACAAAAGGAUGGACAAAAUCCCAUGAAAAGAUGUUCAAUACCCCCAAUCAUUAGAGAAAUGCAAAGUAAACUACAAUGAGGUAUCACCUCACAACCAAUAAGAAGUGCCCUCAUCAAAAAGUCUAGACAAUAAAUUCUAGAGAGGGUGUUGAGGAAAGAGAACCCUUCCCACACUGUUGGUGAGAAUGUAAAUUGGUGCAACCACUAUGGAAAACAGUAUGGAGUUUCCCUAAAAAAAAAAAAAAAAAAACUAAAUAUAGAACUACCAUAUGAUAUGACCCAGCAAUCCCACUCCUGAGCAUAUAUAUCCAGAGAAAACCAUAAUUUGAAAAGAUAGAUACACACCAGUGUUCAUUGCAGCACUAUUUACAAUAGCCAAGAAAUGGAAGCAACCAGAAUGUCCAUCAAGAAAAAACUGGAUCAAGAAGCUGUGGUACAUAUAUAAAAUGGAAUAUUACCCAACCACAGAAAAAGAAUGAAAUAACACCAUUUGCAGAAACAUGGAUGAACCUAAAGAUUAUACUGAAUGAAGUAAAUCAGAGAAAGACAAAUAUCAUGAUAUCACCUAUGUGUGGAAUCCCGUUAAAAAUGAUACAAUAAAAUUUAUAAAACAAACUCACAGAUUUCUAAACUUAUGGUUAACAAAGGAGAAACUGUGGGAGGGGGAUGGAUCAAUUGAGGGGGUGGGAUUAACACAUGCAUAUACACACUACUAUAUAUAAAAUACAUAACAAAAGGACCCACUGUAUAGCACAUGCAGGUCUAUCCAAUGUUCUGUAAUACCCUAUGUGGGGGAAAAGAAUAGAUAUAUGUAUAACUGAUUCACUUUCCUGUACACCUGAAGCUAAUACAACAUUGUAAGUCAACUAUACUCCAAAUCACUAAACACAAAUUCAGUAUAAUCUUAACUCAGCCUCACUUGGUCAGACCUCAGAAAUGCCUGUGGCCAUCCAACCAAAGGGCAAGUGUGGCAGAGAUGAGGUUAGAUUGGCAGACAGUGGUUUUCACUGAUUGUGCCCCAAAAUAGUCUACGUUUGCAAAUAUUGCAAAAGCAUAUGCCCCCAUGAACACAUUGCUGGAACCCCUCCCAGGGGAUCAGCUCCUGAAGUCAAGGGGCCCUGGAACACAAGUUAGAUGUGCUUCUUGAGAAACCUCUGCUGCUUGCAAACCCCUUUCAUCUCAUUCCCUCUAGUAACUCGACCACAGACCCUCUAUUGAAAAAUUCCUCAAGCUUUUUUUUUUUGUAGUUACCUCCCCCUCUGAUGUGCUCUCAGAUAUACUCCAAUUCAUCACAUUGGAAAUGCACUGUUAGUUCUCAGGCCUCUUCCUUACUGACAGAGCCAUAGCAUUUAUCACAGCUGAAAAUUCUCUCCCACAUGUCACAAUUUGUUUGCAUAGCUCCAAAAAGAACAUUCUGUGUUUUACGCCUAGUUGAUUGCUGGUUCCGCCUCCAUAGCUUUCGCUCAUUCCCACUUCUGAACACUGGAAUGCCUGGGUCUUACUGAUUCAUUGAGUGAGACCUCUGAUCAUCUCAUUCAGUCAUCCUUUAAAUGUCCUUCAGAUGGUGCAUUCGUUGACCAAGGCUGCUCUAACAAAAUACCUCAUACUGGGCAACAGAAACUUCAGUUCUGGUGGCCAGAAGUCCAAGAUCCAGGUGUUUGGCAUGCUUGGAGUCUUUCAAGAACCCUCUUCUUGGCUUGUAGAUGGCCGUCUUCUCGUGUCUUUACAUGGUCACUCUGCAUGUUCACCCCUGCUGUCAGCUUGUGUGUCCCAAUUUCCUUUUCUUAUAAGGAUACCACUUCUGUCACAUUAGGUUAAAGUGAGGGCCUGGGGGCAGGGGUACCUACCCACCUCUUGAAAGGCUCCAUCUCCAAGUUCAGUCACCUUCUGAGUCUUAGGAAUCAGAGUUCCAACAUAGGAAUUUGGGGGUGGAGGACAAUAUUCAGUCCUUAGGAGAUGGUUACUCCAAAAUUGCUUCUUCCUGGUCAAGGCUUCUCUCUCAAAAACUCUAGCUUUGUAUAUUCAAUAGCCGAGACAACUCUACUUAAAUGUCUUUUCAGCAUCUUGAAAUCAAUCGUCUAAUAAACCUAGCUCCUAAAGUUUCUCCUGCAAAGCUGAUCCACCUACAACCACCACAGCCAGGUGCCUCCAUCACAACCUUCCCCUGCUCCAUCUUGGAGCCUCACUUGCUUUUUUCCACUCUUCCAUUGCUCUGGUUUUAAAAAAUGAACCCUUGGAAUAAUUCUUGACCCUCUCUUUAAGAGCCCACAUUCAAUCCACUGAUUUCCCAUUCAGGUGACACUCAAAACCUGACCAUUUACCGUCCUCUUUAUCACUACAUCAUCUCCUGCCUGAAUGACUGCAGGAUGGUUUCCCAAGAGGUGGCCUCUUUCUACACUUGCCCCUUUAUUGUCUAUCCUCAUCACAGAAGCCAGAGUGACUCUUAAGACUAAAGUCAGACUAUUUACUCCCCUGCUCAAGGCCCUUCAAUGGCUUGACAUUUCAAGUCAAAGCAAAUGUUCUUAUAAUAGACUACAAGGUCAUGCAUGGUCUGAGUCCUACUCCACAUCCCGUAACUCUGACCAACUUCUGUUCUUCCCACCCUGGCUUACUCCACUUCAGCCAAACUGGAGUUCCCGUCGUGGCUCAGUGUUUAACGAAUCCGACUAGGAACCAUGAGGUUGCAAGUUCGGUCCCUGCCCUUGCUCAAUGGGUUAACUAUCCGGCGUUGCAGUGAGCUGUGGUGUAGGUCACAGACACGGCUCGGAUCCUGCAUUGCUGUGGCUCUGGCGUAAGCCAGUGGCUACUGCUCCGAUUAGACCCCUAGCCUGGGAACCUCCCUAUGUCACGGGAGCGGCCCAAAGAAAU